GGGGCUGUAGCUCAGCUGGGAGAGCGCUGCAAUCGCACUGCAGCGGUCAGGGGUUCGAUCCCCCUCAGCUCCA
rnacentral:tRNA from 1 species